rnacentral:rRNA from 1 species
GCCAGACUCCUACGGGAGGCAGCAGUGAGGAAUAUUGGUCAAUGGGCGCGAGCCUGAACCAGCCAAGUCGCGUGAGGGAAGACGGUCCUAUGGAUUGUAAACCUCUUUUGUCGGGGAGCAAGGCCGCCGACGUGUCGGCGGAAGGAGAGUACCCGUAGAACAAGCAUCGGCUAACUCCGUGCCAGCAGCCGCGGUAAUACGGAGGAUGCGAGCGUUAUCCGGAUUUAUUGGGUUUAAAGGGUGCGCAGGCGGCACGGCAAGCCGGCGGUCAAAUCGCGGGGCUCAACCCCGCCCAGCCGUCGGAACUGCCGGGCUAGAGUGGGCGAGAAGUACGCGGAAUGCGUGGUGUAGCGGUGAAAUGCAUAGAUAUCACGCAGAACUCCGAUUGCGAAGGCAGCGUACCGGCGCCCAACUGACGCUCAUGCACGAAAGCGUGGGUAUCGAACAGGAUUAGAUACCCUAGUA